GACCAAGACUCAGGUCUCCAGUUUAAAGCCACAACCUGCUUGGUAAUUCUUUAGGGUCUAAGAUGUUUGGGGGAGGGAGGGGUGCUGAGAUGUGGAAUUGUUUGAGAUGGUCAUACCAUGGGAUCAUUUAGCUGAAUUGUAGGACCCCUUUAGGUACAGAGUCUCCCCUUUCCAUUUCAGUAGGUCAAACUGUUCGGAGAACAGAGUCUCCCCUUUCCAUUUCAGUAGGUCAAACUGUUCGGAGAACAGAGUCUCCCCUUUCCAUUUCAGUAGGUCAAACUGUUCGGAGAACAGAGUCUCCCCUUUCCAUUUCAGUAGGUCAAAGUGUUCGGAGAACAGAGUCUCCCCUUUCCAUUUCAGUAGGUCAAACUGUUCGGAGAACAGAGUCUCCCCUUUCCAUUUCAGUAGGUCAAACUGUUCGGAGAACACAGAGUCUCCCCUUUCCAUUUCAGUAGGUCAAACUCUUGAGAUGUGUUCCUCAGAGUCUCCCCUUUAUAGAGUAGUUUUUUUUGUCGGUCAAACUGUUCGGACGCUACAGAAGUUUUCGUGUGAAGACCGAUUUUCGGGACGUCUCAGACUGCUCUAACUCUUGUCACCUUUCACUGACGAUGUGGAAGAGAGAUACUGGCAGAUGUUGUGGAUUGAGAAGCAAACAAACAGAUAUCUCUAGUUUAAACAAAGAUUCUGAUCCAACACAAACAAACAGAUAUCUCUAAUUUAAACAAAGAUUCUGAUCCAACACAAACAAACAGAUAUCUCUAGUUUAAACAAAGAU